UGUGUGGAUUGAAGUCAAAGGAACGUAAAGUGCACGUAACCUCUCCAUAAUCCAAAACAGACGUGGAUCGACAUGAUGAUGAGAGGUUUGAAGAAGUGGACUAGAGGAGAGCCGCUCAGCGUUACGUCAGCUGGAGACAAUAAACCGAACGGAGCCAUCCAUCAUGAGCGCUUGAUUCUGCUGACAGCACGUCAAAUCCCAUUGAUCUCCAGGGGAACCUUCAGGAUCGCUGGCGGCACUCUGAUGUGACGAAAAUUCAGAUCCAAGUCCACGGUUUGGUGAAAAAAAAAAAUCAUAAAUUCCCCACAUGCAGUGCUUCGUCACAGAAAUGAUUUGCCUUCGAUCCUUUUAUGGGAUUUUCAAAAUGUCAUUUGAAAUGGAAAGGUGGUGUGCAGUUUGGAAAAACAGCUGUCACGUUCCCUUUUCUCCCCUGGCCUUUGAGUGCAUACCUUCAUAAUGCAUAAAUAACUCUCCUAGGGUUUUAAAGUAUUUUAUUACUGGUCUAAAGUACCACUAUGGCACAAUUCAAAAAAGAGUCUUUCUUUUCCAUCUCAGAAAUCAUAGUUAUUGAAAAGAUAUGUUCAGAGGGGAGAAAAUUGUAUGUCAGAAUGUGUGCGUCAGUGUAAAGACUGGCUCUGCACUUGUUCUCCUAGGUCAUCAAUUUACAUAUGCUUUUUUAAUUGUUUGUAUAUAGGCCAAUACAAAUUACAUUACCAAUUUGAGCUUUUUUAUCUUUUUAAUUAUGUAAAAAUGUUCAUUUGAAGCGUGUGACAUCCAAUCUUCUUUUCCGUAAUUGUUGUGAGGUCCAAAGACAUUUCACAAGCUUUAAGUCUGGUGUGACCUCCCCUUUAAUGUCCUAAAUUGUAUAUCUAUUAACACUGGGUGAGACUCAUGUGCUAUCAGUCUAUUCACACCACAGAGUUGUACAGGUUUCUGUAUGAAUGAUGUUGAGACACAGUGAUCUAAUUGAGAAAUAAUCACCUAAAGAGUUCCAGACAUUUUUAGAUCUGCUUUGGACUCAUUAAUGGUCGAGAUUUGUAACACCUGCUUAGGAAAAGUGCUGUGUCAAGAAAAGAAGAUUAAAGCCAAGAGUGCUUUAUUUCUCAGCAAGAAAAUGUCUGCACACACACACACACACACUCGCAAACACAUACCCUUGAGGCCCUGCCCAUUAUCUGUCUGACGUGUAAAAUGUUCCUUGCAGCGAUCGAUGAAGAUCAGGUCCAAGGAAUUGAUAACCUUAUAAAGCCUGUAAUUACUUUCCUUCCUCGGCAACGAGCAAUAAAGUUUUUAUUAUGGAUCUCUCCGCUCACUUCGCGAGUCUUAGACAGUGAGGGAUGUUAGAAAUUAAAACUCACAGACUGUGAUUGUUUCACCGACUGAAAAUGCACGGAUACAGUUGAUUGAAAGUGAACUUCGCUGAUGAACAGAAUUUCAAGGGCAACCUGGGCUCCUAUGUCAUUCUCUUCAACGUGGAGGUCUGGGAAGAAACUAAUGUCCCUUCAUUAGCUGUAAAACAGAGCUGCGUUUGAAUGAAUGGAAAUGGCUGGCAGAGGGAUUUCCCAAGACGACAGUAAAAAUGUCACCACAUGAAAAGUCUUCGGUUCACACCUGGCAGGGGCACAUCUUUAUCUGCAAGGCUAAUGUCUUCUUGAAGUUCAUGGAUCCUCCUGAGGUACAGACAGCAGAGGAGAGAUGACUCGAUGUGUUGAAUAUCUGAUGCCUUCCUCUUUUCCCGCUGUGGCCAUUACUCACCUCCUCGGAGAUGAUUGCAGAAGCCACAACAGACGCAAAAGAGACUGACACAGAGACGCUGUAAAGGAAAUCAUUCAAGUGAGGACAGAAGCAAAACUGUGAAAAGAACUUGACAGUAAUAUUCUUCAGAAUGACUCGUUUUAUGUUCCAUGGUAAAAUUAUAACAGCAAAUGGGUUUGUAAUGAAGUGAGGGUGAGUAAAUGAUGGCAGAUUUCAUUUUUGUAUGAGCUACCUUUAAUUGGCAUGAAAAUGGUUACUAAAAAUAUGCUUAAUUUUCUUUUGUUCUUUUUGAUUUCAGGAUGAUUUGUGACCUGGGUUUGUUUUUGUGAGAUUCACAACUUCAUUAAUGGGUUUCGAUCAGAACUGUGUUUCCUAUAAAAUGAGAAGAAAAAAAAUCAAAGGCAACAAAAUGUAUUUGUACUCAUUACAACCAUCUCGCUGUGAAAGACCAGCGCUGAUCCCUGAGAUGUCAAUUAUGAUCAUCUCCCUUUCAUAAUGCACAAAAAACAUGAGUCAGGGAUUACAAGGAAGUCAAAAAAAGCGAGAGAGCGCCGACUAUAUGGCCUCUAAAGACUGCAGAGGUUUUAGGAUGUAUAAUAAGCUGUGUCCCUCGCCAUGGCUUUAAUUGGCUCAGUUUCUCUUUUGUGUCAGAUAUCACAAUACCAUGAAUUAAGGGCUGCUUUAUUACCGCCUGCAUCUCCGCCGCACGAGCUCUCCCUGACUAAUUGAAAAGUGGUGGAACAAGGAAAGCAAUUUACUCACCUAGAAAUUACUUUUCAUGAUAACAAUGCCAUUUUUCAAAGCCAGGCGCUCCCAUCCAGUCCUACUUCUUAAGAGUGAACCAUUAUUUGUGUUGGAGGGAAGAGAAAGCCUAUUUGCAUUACAUUACAAGUCCAAUUGGCACCCGGCAAUGAGGAAGAGUAUGGAGGGAAGAAAGUGAGAGAUACAUAUUUCACACUGUCUUGGAAAAAUCUUGCACUUUGUGCUUAAGUUGCGCUGAUACUGUGUUAUUGGGGGGGAAAAAACACUACAUAUAAAUCAUUUUUAAUUUGAUUUUUUUUUGUGUGUGUGUGUGCUACUUCUAUUUAUAUGCAGAAGAAUGGGAAAGGCAGGACUUAGAAAUGUUGCAAGCCAAAUUUAGUCACAUUAGCCAAAUGCGCACCCCAAAAGGUAACGCAAUAACUCACUGUCAUAUUUUUUUAAAUAUUUUAUUUAUGCUUUCCUGCCAUUGACAGAAUUUUCAGACAACUGUUAAACGGUAUAGGGAGCGCUAUUAUGCAUCUUCUGAAAUAGUUCAUAAUCUUCUGAUCCAAAAACUAAUGAAGAAGAAGCAGAAACAAGCGAUAGAAGAUCUUUGUAAGCUAUAAUGCCAUCAUCAAACAUUAAACAGCAUCAAAACUGCCUAAUUUUACCGAAUUUUUACCGGUUUUCUGUUUGAAAAUGGGAAGUAUGUCAAACCUGAGAAAGCAGGGUAGGUCAAGCCUGUUUCUGAAAGAGAGAUAACUUAUACCAGAGAUUAUUUAUAUAGAGACAUGCCACUUCCUCAAUCCUUAAUACAGCUAUAUAGGGAAAACCCGUAACACCAAAGAUGGCAGUUGUAUGCACAUGCCGCACCCCUCCAGCAGGAAAGCCAAUCGUCUGCUUUUAACAGUCAAGCUGGGAAACAUUUAAGCCUAUUGUCCGGUUCCACCAACGCAUGCGCACAGUUGAGGUUUGCGACAGCGGAAACUAUGUUAAUGUUUGAAAAGGCGGCAGAUUUGAUGCAGUGUAUGUGUUAGUUGUGUAAAUAUAAGACAUCCCAAGUUUCCCGGAAGUUCCGUGAGUCUCCCGCAGAUUGAUAGCAGCUCCCUGAUGACCGCAAAUUAGUUCAAAUCUGCCGGAAUCUAGAGCAAAUGAGCAGUAGCGCCCAUGACAGAGAGCGAAUGAACCCUUGCACAUGCAUAGUAAAAGUUUAACCUGUGGGGGAAAAGGCGUUUUAAAC